CCUACGGGCGGCAGCAGUGGGGAAUAUUGGGCAAUGGGCGCAAGCCUGAACCAGCAAAGCAGCGUGAAGGAAGAAGGCUUUCGGGGUGUAACACUCUUUUCUGAGGGACAAAGAAAGUGCCGGUACAUCCGGAAUAAGCCACGUCUAACUACGUGCCAGCACCAGCGGUAAUACGUAGGUGGCAAGCGUUAUCCGGAUUUAUUGGGUGUAAAGGUCGUGUAGGCGGGAAAGCAAGUCAGAUGUGAAAACUAAGGGCUCAACCCUGAGACUGCAUUUGAAACUGUUUUUCUUGAGUGCUGUAGAGGCAAGCGGAAUUCCUGGUGUAGCGGUGAAAUGCGUAGAUAUACGGAGGAACACCAGUGGCGAAGGCGGAUUGCUGGACAGUAACUGACGCUGAGGCGCGAAAGCGUGGGUAGCAAACAGGAUUAGAUACCCGGGUAGUC
rnacentral:rRNA from 1 species